UACGAAGGGGGCUAGCGUUGUUCGGAAUUACUGGGCGUAAAGCGCGCGCAGGCGGUCUUCCAAGUCAGUGGUGAAAGCCCCGGAGCUCAACUCCGGAAUUGCCAUUGAAACUGUUAGACUUGAGGAUGAGAGAGGUGAGUGGAAUUCCCAGUGUAGAGGUGAAAUUCGUAGAUAUUGGGAAGAACACCGGUGGCGAAGGCGGCUCACUGGCUCAUUACUGACGCUCAGGCGCGAUAGCGUGGGGAUCAAACAGG
rnacentral:rRNA from 1 species